rnacentral:tRNA from 1 species
GGACUGGUUAGUUCAGUCGGUUAGAGUGUGGUGCUGAUAACACCAAGGUCACGGGUUCAAACCCCAUUCGGUCCC